rnacentral:tRNA from 2 species
AGGAAGCUAGUCUAACUAAGACAGCUGGUUUCGGCCCAGCAAAUUAUAGAUAACAUCUAUAGCUUUCUU